AAAGACAGUAGCCAUAAGAGUUCUUUACUGUUAUGGCCAUUUAUGAAAAUAUAUUCAUGAUUAAUGUUUACUGACAUUAAUCAGAAAAAUAACCCUCCUGCAGAUAGCAGUUUAUGUAUUUGGGGGAUGCGGGUGGAGGUGGGGGCAAGAGGGGUUCCUUUUCCUGAUGCCUCUCUGUUUUGGGCUUUUUUUUCCCCAGAUGGGAAAGUACACCCUGGACUGCCUGUUCCUCGUCCUGUGGAGGGGGCAUUCAAAGCCGCAGCGUCUCAUGUGUGGAAGAAGACAUUCAGGGACAUAUCAGCCCUGUGGAAGAAUGGAAAUGCAUGUAUACUCCAAAGAUGCCUGUUGUCCAGCCUUGCAAUAUAUUUGACUGCCCAAAGUGGCUUGCUCAGGAAUGGUCUCCGUGCACUGUGACCUGUGGACAAGGACUCAGAUACCGUGUGGUCCUUUGCAUUGAUCACAGGGGUAUGCAUACAGGAGGCUGUAGUCCUAAAACAAAGCCACACAUAAAAGAAGAAUGCAUUGUACCCACUCCUUGCUACAAACCCAAAGGUAAUGAGGCAGAAAGGUUCUCAUAAAUUUUUCAGAGCUCUUCCAUGUUGAGCAGUUUUGUUUUGUUACUGGUAGCAUUGUUUUCACCUGCACUGAGUAGUGAAUUUGCACCUUUAAGGCUUGCCAUUCCUAUUCCAGGCUGCCUGCUAGAAACUUGGAGUGAGUGAAUGGCCCCUUCCUCAUUCCUACAAGCUCUGGGGUUUUCACUGUUAAUUUGUGGUCCAGCAGACCAAGCAAUAUAAAUGUAAAUUUGGCCACAGUGUAAGCAGGUUUGAUCUCACUGAUUAUGUCUGGGCUAAAUUUGCCAUAUAUUUUAAAGGGAAUUAAAUAUAUAAAUAACAUUUAUGGUAGAUAAAUUUAACCAUAGUUUUAAAGUGCCUGUUCAUAUUUUGGAGCUUGAAAUAGGCCAGAAGCAAGCAUUAUGUAUUCCAACAUGAAGUUCGUCUUUCUAGCAAGGCUGUCAGCUUUGGCACACUGUUAGACUUGAAGCAAAUUAUAACAAGGAGUAGUCA
rnacentral:lncRNA from 1 species